GCCAGUGUGGUGUAGUGGUUUGAGGGUUGGACUAUGACUCAGAGACCAGGGUUCAAAUCCCCACUUGGCCA